CAAGUAUCCCCAUCGCACCUAUUAUUGAUUUUCUCGAAAGAGCUUUUACUUUCCGUUCUCCACAAUGGGUAGGAGAACACAUGAAUGAAAAAACGCAGAGGCGCCCAGGGAUUACGAAAUAAAUUGGUCCCUAUUCGGCGGUACCCAGUGACGUUAUGGGGUGCGCCAUUGUGGAAACUUUGAGACAUGUGUAUAUUUUCCGGAACCCGCAGGGACUCUUUACACGCAAUAAACCCGUAAUUCAGCAAAGUCUUGCCCACCCCUCGCUAAAAUAGAGCAGAAUUCUUUGCAUUGCUCCCACAUCCGCUCGAAAGAUUAUAACAAAGCAUCCAUAUACGUAUACUAUAUGCUGUGGGGUGCACAUUCGAGGCCCUCAGUUCAUAAAAUGCUCCCAGAACGAACUGCCCGAUCAUCGUUAUCAAGGCCGCGAUCUACAUAUAUAUGUUGUAUAUAUAGAACACCAGAUGUAUGUACUUAGCAACGUUCUGCCGCUUUAUUGGAAUUUGAUUUGUUUUUCCAACAUGCCGCCUUAAGGUGUGAAUGCAACGUGAUCUUAAGUGCCUCGCACUAAUUUCAAAAAAACUAAAAUGUGGGAUAGAUGAACCUUAUAACUUAAUUUAGGAAAUUUGUGAAAGGAAAAAGAGGUCCCUGGAACCCAGGAAUUCAUCUGUUUAAUAAAGUGCUUCGCGCCGACACACGACAUGGUGACAUCACAACCUUGGUGCGACCGGCUUGGAUUGGAUGGGUUUUGUGCCAGCAAAGACACCCACUCAAUUUCCAUCCAACAUUCACAUCGGUAAAUGAAAGUUUCUUUUUUGCUCUUAAAGUAUCUAUAUUUUCAGACAUUUCUCAUAUCGAAAUAUUGCCAAAUGAGACGGAUGAGUCGGACUAGCGUCGCAUGUACAGUUCUUUUUGCGCCCGUUGACUGAUUCAUUGAAGAUCACGUAUACGCACCAUUAGCUCUGAAAUCCUAGGGCGUAUUCGACCAAAGUUUGGCAUGCCCCGAUGUCAGUACAAACUGUAUUCCGUGUAUAUAUUCACUCACUCCUCUUUUUCGACGAUUUUGUAAUGUAAACAGUUCAUUUACUGGUUGUUUACCACACUUUCUAGCAGUGUAACUUGUGCAAUGACGUAAAUACGCUAAUAUUCUAUUAUUUUUUUUCGCGCACAAUGUUAGAAAUUUUGUCGGUAUGUGGAG